rnacentral:rRNA from 1 species
UACGUAGGGGGCAAGCGUUGUCCGGGUUUACUGGGCGUAAAGAGCGCGUAGGCGGAAGCUUAAGUGUGGCCUGAAAGCCCCCGGCUCAACCGGGGAAGGUGGCUGCAAACUGGGCUUCUUGAGGGGGAUAGAGGAAAGUGGAAUUCCGGGUGUAGCGGUGAAAUGCGUAGAGAUCCGGAGGAACACCAGUGGCGAAGGCGGCUUUCUGGGUCCGCCCUGACGCUGAGGCGCGAAAGCGUGGGGAGCGAACGGG